rnacentral:rRNA from 1 species
ACGACUCUCGGCAACGGAUAUCUCGGCUCUCGCAUCGAUGAAGAACGCAGCGAAAUGCGAUACUUGGUGUGAAUUGCAGAAUCCCGCGAACCAUCGAGUCUUUGAACGCAAGUUGCGCCCAAAGCCUUUCGGCUGAGGGCACGUCUGCCUGGGUGUCACGCAACAA